AUGGGAGAAACCAGUUUCUCUAAGAUCAGUGAGGGCCACAGAGCCUCUGUGGCCUCGACAGCUAAGAUCCUGCAGGGAUCGGUCAUCCCUCCCGAUCCAGGAGGAGCUGAUGCUGACAGGGAUGCUCCACCAAUGACUCCACACCCUGUCACAGGGAGAGUUGAUGGUGGCACAAGGACUCCAGCUGACGCUCAGUACUCUGAGGAGGGAUCUCUACCCACCGAAGGGGGGGCCGACGCACUCACUGACCUUACUCCACUACAGCAGGCGCUGAUGACCUCUAAACUUCAGGGGGGUGAAACACCUACCAAAAGGGGGGUCAGAUGUUGCCCUGUAAAUCUGCUGGUGGACCCUGAUCUCUCUGAACGCGCCCACGUGUCAACCUGGGACCUUCCUGGAAGCACAUCUGCUCCGGAUCCUCGUAAGCCUGCACCUGUCUACAGCCUUAAACAUUGUUGGUUUCAGUUUUCAGGACAGAUGAUGUUGCUCUUGCUAGUCACAUGUCUCUGUCUGUUUUCUCAGCAGCACUCUCUAACUCGACCGUGUGGAUCUGGGUUCCCUCUGGGUGCCACAUCCAGGGGACCACCAGAUAUCUUGAUGUCCAUCCAUCACUUGUGGGUCCAGCCAGUUCAGUCUGGUGGCGCUGGGACUUUUUCUAGUGAGCGGGCUCUCCAGAGCCUCAUCAAUAUACCUGUGUAUCCUUUCUGUCCUGUUCAACAGACAUGGCAUAAGAUACCAGCAGGGGGCAGUUGGACUCCUCAUGAUCUGAGGGCUUCUCAUCUUGACUUUCAGUUUGCUACAAAUCCUGGUCACACAACAGUCACCUCUGGUAAACUGAUUAAUAACCUUUUGCAGGAAAAAUCAGGUCCUGACCUACCAACUAAACCACUCUCUCCGGUCGUGUUUCUCAUUAAGAUCUCUAAAGGUAACAAAGCACCCAUUUAUCUAUGGGUCCACCAAACCAAAUUGAAACCGCACAAAAAUCCCAUUGAUUUAGAUAUUGUUUCAACCGAAAUAGCUGACUACCAACUCGAAUCGUGCCAAAAGGGGGGUGAACGUCCGUCUGCUCUCGCUGGGUUCUCUGAUUUCGGAUCCUGUCGUGAGUAUGUGUGUGCAUGGCCUCCAUGUCUAAACAUAUUGUACAGGCUUUGUGAAUUUUGGCUGUGGUCUGCUGUGGUUCCAAUAAUCAUGUGUUUUCAGAACAUAACAGUUAAAAGUGGACGUCUCCACUACCUGGUGUGUCAAUCCAAAUUCAAUCAAAAUCCUUAUUUGAUAAUUUUUAGUGGUCUUGAUAACUUUUGA
rnacentral:lncRNA from 1 species